rnacentral:rRNA from 1 species
GGGAACGCAUUUAUUAGAUAAAAAGCCAUGCAUGCUUUUACAGUAUGGAAAUUGGUGAUUUAUAAUAACUUAGCAAAUCGCAAGUGAAAACAGGCGAUAAAUCAUUCAAGUUUCUGACCUAUCAGCUUUCGACGGUAUGGUAUUGGCUUACCGUGGCAGUGACGGUUAACGGGGGAUUAGGGUUCGAUUCCGGAGAGGGAGCCUGAGAAACGGCUACCACAUCUAAGGAAGGCAGCAGGCGCGCAAAUUACCCAAUUCUAACAGUUUGAGAGAGGUAGUAACAAGAAAUAACAAUACAAGGCAAUUAAAAUGCUUUGUAAUUGGAAUGAUAGAAAUUUAAACCCUUUUUAAAGUAUCAAUUGGAGGGCAAGUCUGGUGCCAGCAGCCGCGGUAAUUCCAGCUCCAAUAGCGUAUAUUAAAAUUGUUGCAGUUAAAAAGCUCGUAGUUGAAGUUCUGCUAAAAGUAACCGGUCUGCUUUUAAUAAAAGUGGUAUCUUGGUGUGUAUUUAGCAAUGAUGUCCUUUGAAGUGUUUUUUACUUUAUUGUAAUAAAGCAUAUUCAGGACUUUUACUUUGAGAAAAUUAGAGUGUUUCUAGCAGGCCGACGCUUUGAAUACUGCAG